AACCUUUACACUGCACGAAAGUGCGAUAAGGGAAUCCCGAGUGCCUUGCUUUUAGUAAGGCUUUUGCCAUGUGUAAAAAGCAUGGCGAAUAAGUGGUGGGUAAGACUUGUGCCAGCCGCCGCGGUAACACCAGCGCCACAAGUGGCAACCGCUUUUAUUGGGCCUAAAGCGUCCGUAGCCGGUUCAGUAAAUUUCCUGUGAAAUCGUUGGGCUUAACCUAACGUCGUGCAGGAAAGACUACUGGACUUGGGACCGGGAGGCGUCAGAGGUAUUCUUGAGGGAGCGGUAAAAUGCUAUAAUCUCAGGAGGACCACCGAUGGCGAAGGCAUCUGACGAGAACGGAUCCGACGGUGAGGGACGAAAGCUAGGGGAGCAAACCGG
rnacentral:rRNA from 1 species